GACGAACGCUGGCGGCGUGCUUAACACAUGCAAGUCGAACGGAAAGGCCCUGCUUUUGUGGGGUGCUCGAGUGGCGAACGGGUGAGUAACACGUGAGUAACCUGUCCUUGACUUUGGGAUAACUUCAGGAAACUGGGGCUAAUACCGGAUAGGAGCUCCUGCUGCAUGGUGGGGGUUGGAAAGUUUCGGCGGUUCGGGAUGGUCUCGCGGCUUAUCAGCUUGUUGGUGAGGUAGUGGCUUACCAAGUCUUUGACGGAUAGCCCGCAUGAGAGCGUGACCAGCGACAUGGGGACUGAGAGAGGGCCCAGAAGGCUACGGGAGGCAGCAGUGGGGAAUAUGGCGCAAUGGGCGGGAGCCUGAUGUAGCAACGCCGCGAGCGUAAUGACGGCCUUCGGGUGGUAAACCGCUUUCGCCUGUGACGAGGCGUGAGUGACGGUAAUGAGUAAAGAAGCACCGGCUAACUACGUG
rnacentral:rRNA from 1 species